UACGUAGGGGGCUAGCGUUGUCCGGAAUCAUUGGGCGUAAAGCGCGUGUAGGCGGCCCGGUAAGUCCGCUGUGAAAGUCGGGGGCUCAACCCUCGAAUGCCGGUGGAUACUGUCGGGACUAGAGUACGGAAGAGGCGAGUGGAAUUCCUGGUGUAGCGGUGAAAUGCGCAGAUAUCAGGAGGAACACCCAUUGCGAAGGCAGCUCCGCUGGGACGUUACUGACGCUGAGACGCGAAAGCGUGGGGAGCAAACAGG
rnacentral:rRNA from 1 species